rnacentral:misc_RNA from 1 species
GAUGAAGAACGCAGCGAAAUGCGAUAAGUAAUGUGAAUUGCAGAAUUCAGUGAAUCAUCGAAUCUUUGAACGCACAUUGCGCCUGCCAGUAUUCUGGCGGGCAUGCCUGUUCGAGCGUCAUUACAACCCUCAGGCCCCCGGGCCUGGCGUUGGGGAUCGGCGGAGCCCCCCGUGGGCACACGCCGUCCCCCAAAUACAGUGGCGGUCCCGCCGCAGCUUCCAUCGCGUAGUAGCUAACACCUCGCGACUGGAGAGCGGCGCGGCCACGCCGUAAAACACCCAACUCUUCUGAAGUUGACCUCGAAUCAGGUAGGAAUACCCGCUGAACUUAAGCAUAUCAAUAAGCGGAGGA